rfam:Gorilla gorilla gorilla genomic chromosome, chr8, whole genome shotgun sequence
GCUGGGCAUGGUGGCGGGUGCCUGUAGUCCCAGCUACCUGGGAGGCUGAGGCAGGAGAAUCACUUGAACCUGGGAGUAAGAGGUUGCAGUGAGCCGAGAUCCUGCCACUGUACUCCAACCUGGGUGACAAAGUGAGACUCUGUCUCAA